UCUUUUUUUCUGUCCUAUUCUAAACAUAUUAUUUGGUUAUGGUGUGAGAGAUGAUGUAUCAUUUUUUUUUAUUUAUUUAUUUAUUUUUUUGACAUCCAAUAAGAUGUAUCAUUUUAUUUGAAAUUUCAAAUCAUAUAUUAUAUAAGCUUUGUUGCUCUGUAAGAUUUAACACGACAUCACAAAAAAAGAAAGGACAGAAUCUUUCUGACCUUAGCCUAUAAACAACACUAUAUCCGUAAGAAAAAGAAAAACUCACCAAUGACAAUGACUAUUUCUUCAAAUCCAAUUUUCA
rnacentral:lncRNA from 1 species